AUAAACACUGUGAAAGAGAAGAGUAAUUGGUCACCUGCUGACCUCAGAGAAUCGGUGAUGGUGAAAAUCCGAUGCAGCAAUCCAAUGAAGCCACUCUAGAGUGUUCUUCUGAAAAACCAAUCGAGGUUGAGUAAGCAGAACCGGUCUCCACCGUUAUGGAGAGUGAGUUUUACUGAGGGGGUCUGUAUAAGACCAACUAGGGUGGUACCGCGAGAUAAGCCUCUCGUCCCUAUU
rnacentral:ncRNA from 1 species